rnacentral:lncRNA from 1 species
CUAUCUUUUUCCUCCAGCCAUGGUAAUAGGAAUAGAAUUGCCUUUUGUUUCAUUGAAACUCUGAAUUUAUAACCUGAUUUUUGUGGACCUGUGAGCUCUAAUGAGAGAGGUCCAAGUCCAAGAUUUUUUCCUUUUAUUUAUUUAUUUAUUAAAUUUUUUUUUCUUUCUUUUUUUCCUUUUUUUUUCUUUUUUUUCAUUUUUUUUUCGUUUUUCGUUUUUUUUCUUCAGAACACGUGGGCUUCGCCUAGCGAGCAUGACAGCUCAU